GACGAACGCUGGCGGCGUGCUUAACACAUGCAAGUCGAACAGUAAGGCCCUUCGGGGUACACGAGUGGCGAACGGGUGAGUAACACGUGGGUGAUCUGCCCUGCACUUCGGGAUAAGCCUGGGAAACUGGGUCUAACACCGGAUAGGACUCCUGGCUUCAUGGUUGGGGGUGGAAAGCUUUUGCGGUGUGGGAUGGGCCCGCGGCCUAUCAGCUUGUUGGUGGGGUAAUGGCCUACCAAGGCGACGACGGGUAGCCGGCCUGAGAGGGUGACCGGUCACACUGGGAAUGAGAUACGGCCCAGACUCCUACGGGAGGCAGCAGUGGGGAAUAUUGCACAAUGGGCGCAAGCCUGAUGCAGCGACGCCGCGUGAGGGAUGACGGCCUUCGGGUUGUAAACCUCUUUCAGCUAUGACGAAGCGCAAGUGACGGUAGUAGCAGAAGAAGGACCGGCCAACUACGUGCCAGCCGCCGCAGUAA
rnacentral:rRNA from 1 species